AGGGAAAAAAAUAAAUGAGAAAUGAAAUAAAGAGAGAGAACCGGUCCCAAAUGUGGAGGUUGUAGAAGUGGUAAUAACCCCAUACGUGGCAAUAUGGUAUUGGCUUGUUGGUUUCACACGAAGGGAAAUUUUUUUUGUGUUUCUUUCUUCAGUCGGUUCUCUAUUUCUUCGAUAUUGUCGAAGUCUUUUGAUCUUCUUGCCAUGGAAGUUCAUCCACAUGACGAAUCCUUCGAUCUUCAAGAGAUUCACAGCCGCGUGAAAGAGCUCGAGUACGUCACCAUAAUUGCAUAGACGAAUCUGGAGAAUCGAUUCCUUGCGGUUUCGAGGCUUUGGCCCAAGAUUAUGCUCUUCAGCUUGAGACAAAGGUGAAAGAGAUUGUUGAAGAUUAUUGCCAUGUUGAUUCAAUGGAUGUUGAAGAGUCAGGUAUGCUUCUUUUACUUUGUUGUUUAAUGACUAGACGUGUGGCUGUUGAUGUAUUGUCUCUCGUGUGAUCACACUUGAACGUGUUCAUCAAACCUUUGGUUAAGUAUUGUCUAGUCGUCAGCAGUUGAUGUAUUGUCUCCGGUCAUAUGGUGGUUUAUCCGGGCAGAUGUGUGGCUGUUGGCGUCACUCGUGGUUAUGAGAUUCUUGCUCCUCCUCGAGGUGACGACCAUCCCGUCUCUGAUGUUUUCUGGAGACUUCGAGAAAGGCUCUCUCAUGUGUUAGUGUUCUAUAUCGGCGGUAUUCUUUCUUUUUGCUGGUGUUUGGAGAUGUGAAGCACUCCGUUGUUGCUCUCGCUUUGUUUCAGUCCGUGGUGGACAGAGGCGGUGAUGUCUUCGUUGUGGUCAGUUCCUUGUGUGACAGUUUAAGCUGUUGUGUGUCGUGUUAAGGGAGUUCUGCUUAAUAGGAGUGUUCUAUCUUGGUUUUUGGUGUAACGGUUCAGCUGAUAGUUUCUAAUCACAGGUUUUUGGCUGAGUUUUUCCGGCUCCAGUCCAAUGAUUUAGAGUUUUGAAACUCAUGUUCUUUAGUUCGUGGGAAGUCGCAAGAUGAAAUUGUUUCUCUUCUCAUCUUUCUUGGUUCUUGGUUGAUUUCCAAGCUUUUGAUCUCUUCACAAAUUAAAAGGUUUCUUCUCGUUUACGAUUUGUAUUUGUAUUUUUAAUAUGUUUUUAUGUCAUUUUUAUUUUAAUUUUUAUGUAUGCUUUUCUUUAA